GACGAACGCUGGCGGCGUGCCUAACACAUGCAAGUCGAGCGGGGUUGAAGCGAGGGGUAACUCAAACUUCUACCUAGCGGCGGACGGGUGAGUAACGCGUGGGCAACCUGCCUCAAGGAUCGGGAUAACAGCUCGAAAGGGCUGCUAAUACCGGAUAUGCCUAUGGCCUCGCAUGGGGCUGUGGGCAAAGGGGAAACCCGCCUUGAGAUGGGCCCGCGUCCCAUCAGCUAGUUGGUGAGGUGAAGGCUCACCAAGGCGACGACGGGUAGCCGGCCUGAGAGGGUGACCGGCCACACUGGGACUGAGACACGGCCCAGACUCCUACGGGGGGCAGCAGUGGGGGAUCUUGCACAAUGGGCGAAAGCCUGAUGCAGCGACGCCGCGUGAGCGAAGAAGGCCUCGGUUGUAAAGCUCUGUCUGGAGGGACGAAGAAAGUAGACGGUACCUCCGGAGGAAGCCACGGCUAACUACGUG
rnacentral:rRNA from 1 species